GAUGAACGCUGGCGGCGUGCCUAAUACAUGCAAGUCGAGCGAAUGGAUUAAGAGCUUGCUCUUAUGAAGUUAGCGGCGGACGGGUGAGUAACACGUGAGUAACCUGCCCAUAAGACUGGGAUAACUCCGGGAAACCGGGGCUAAUACCGGAUAACAUUUUGAACUGCAUGGUUCGAAAUUGAAAGGCGGCUUCGGCUGUCACUUAUGGAUGGACCCGCGUCGCAUUAGCUAGUUGGUGAGGUAACGGCUCACCAAGGCAACGAUGCGAAGCCGACCUGAGAGGGUGAUCGGCCACACUGGGACUGAGACACGGCCCAGACUCCUACGGGAGGCAGCAGUAGGGAAUCUUCCGCAAUGGACGAAAGUCUGACGGAGCAACGCCGCGUGAGUGAUGAAGGCUUUCGGGUCGUAAAACUCUGUUGUUAGGGAAGAACAAGUGCUAGUUGAAUAAGCUGGCACCUUGACGGUACCUAACCAGAAAGCCACGGCUAACUACGUGCCAGCCGCCGCAGUAA
rnacentral:rRNA from 1 species